CACGUGACUGUGAGACUGUGUGUAAUGGUGAAUGCCGUGCUUCAUGCCAGUCGAAUCAGACUCAAAAACAAUGGUGUAAAAGAAGCUGUUCAGGAGAUGACGUGUGUUGUACACCGCCAGCUGGUGAUGAUUGUGUAGCUGAUGUGGGUGGUAUAUGCCGUGCAAAAAAAUGCAAUAGAGAUGAAAAUGAGGUUUUCGGUACCGGUUGCAGAAACGAACGUGUUUGCUGUAUUUCGGCAUAAAUUACGACAUCGCCAUUGGACAAGCUUUGACGUGAAUAUUCUACAGAUGGAUAUUUGUUGUGAAUAGUUUAGUUUGAGAAAUAAAGCUGAUAACAACGUCUCA